AGUGAACGCUGGCGGUAGGCCUAACACAUGCAAGUCGAACGGCAGCACAGUAAGAGCUUGCUCUUACGGGUGGCGAGUGGCGGACGGGUGAGGAAUACAUCGGAAUCUACUUUUUCGUGGGGGAUAACGUAGGGAAACUUACGCUAAUACCGCAUACGACCUACGGGUGAAAGCAGGGGAUCUUCGGACCUUGCGCGAUUGAAUGAGCCGAUGUCGGAUUAGCUAGUUGGCGGGGUAAAGGCCCACCAAGGCGACGAUCCGUAGCUGGUCUGAGAGGAUGAUCAGCCACACUGGAACUGAGACACGGUCCAGACUCCUACGGGAGGCAGCAGUGGGGAAUAUUGGACAAUGGGCGCAAGCCUGAUCCAGCCAUACUGCGUGGGUGAAGAAGGCCUUCGGGUUGUAAGGCCCUUUUGUUGGGAAAGAAAAGCAGCAGGCUAAUACCCCGCUGUUCUGACGGUACCCAAAGAAUAAGCACCGGCUAACUUCGUG
rnacentral:rRNA from 1 species